CGUUAAAAUUUUAAUCUAUUUGUACUGUUAAAAACUUGUGUGGUUGACGGAAUAACCAUACAGUGAUAUGUGGUGUAUCUCAUGCUGACAUAUAAAGGCCAAUUUUUAAUUAUAGAAAUAGAUAAAAAAUUUAAUA
rfam:Gossypium raimondii Chr12_contig_748, whole genome shotgun sequence.